rnacentral:rRNA from 1 species
AUUGAACGCUGGCGGCAGGCCUAACACAUGCAAGUCGAACGAGUGGCGGACGGGUGAGUAAUGUCUGGGACACUGCCUGAUGGAGGGGGAUAACUACUGGAAACGGUAGCUAAUACCGCAUACCAUCAGAUGUGCCCAGAUGGGCUUAGCUAGUGGGUGGGGUAACGGCUCACCAAGGCGACGAUCCCUAGCUGGUCUGAGAGGAUGACGAGGCACAGUGGAAGUGAGGCGCGGUCCAGACCCAGACGGGAGGCAGCAGGGGGGAAUAUUGCACAAGGGGCGCAAGCCUGAGGCAGCCAUGCCGCGUGUAUGAAGAAGGCCUUCGGGGUGUAAAGUACUUGCAGCGGGGAGGCGUUACCGGCAGAAGAAGCACCGGCUAACUCCGUGCCAGCAGCCCGGUAAUAC